UGCUCUCUUCCGUAGCAGACGCUGCUCGCUUCGUCGCUGCCACCGACGCUCGCUAUGCGGAAUGUUACCAAGCUGUUUUCGCCCGGAGUUCAGAAGGAGCUGUUGCGAAGGAACACGCUUUUUAAAAUGUCAGCGAGUAUAUGAACCCUCCACGCCGCAGCUGGAGCGAUGAGUCGGUCCUCUGGAUUUCACGCUCGUGGCAAGACUCCGGCUACGUCAAUUAAAAAGAAAACGAAUAAAAGAGAGAAAGAAACCAGCGUCGCCACAU